GAAUGAAAACGAAAUGAGGAGAGAAAGGAGAGAGCAGAACCUGCACUGCAACCACGGGAAAACAGAGAAGAGCGAGGGGCGUCCACGAGAGAAAGAGUUGGGACUUGGAAAGGGUCUGAAAAGCGCACCGGAGGCGCGCCUCUUCCAUGUCUUGAACUCUGACUCGUAUGCCUUUUGGGCUCGACGCGUACCUGCAGCGCGCCUCGACGCGUACCUGAAGCGCGCCUCGACGCGUACCUGAAGCGCGCCUCGACGCGUACCUGAAGCGCGCCUCGACGCGUACCGAAGCGCGCCUCGACGCGUACGGAAGCGCGCCCCGAUGCACACGGAAGCGCGCCCCGAUGCACACUGAAGCGCGCCUGCCAAUUCCUUCGCCGACGCCCAAAUAGUGGGACAAAAUCGAAAUUUGAUCUCCAUUCUCCACUAUGAAUGGUAAUAAUGUAUUAGAAUGAGUCAUCAACAGAAUAAAGUAAGAUUAUUUUUUUAGGUUUUUCCACUUAAUGCAGAAAGCUUUAAGCACGUCUUUCCGGUUUACACACUUGACCACUUCGUCGUUUUGUUGCAUCUGCAUCCUCUGUGGCUUUCUCCAUAUGUGAAUCAAAAGAUGGACAGCUGUAAAGCAAAGUCACACCCCUCAAACUGUAAACAAUAAAGAGAGAAUCCAAACUUCA